rnacentral:rRNA from 1 species
CGUAAUAGCUCACUGGUCGAGUGACCCUGCGCCGAAAAUUCAACGGGGCUAAAACCAUAUACCGAAGCUUGGGAUGUUCAAUCGUUCUUCAUAUUUUCAAUAGUAGUAAAGAUUGAAGCGAUGAAGAUAUGAAGAACGAUUGAGUAUGGUAGGAGAGCGUUCUGUGCUGGCAGAAAUCGGAGCGGAAGCGCCGGUGGACGGCACAGAAGAGAGAAUGCCGGAAUGAGUAGCGCGAAAUAUGUGAGAAUCAUAUUGGCCGAAAGUCUAAGGUUUUUGGAGGAAGGUUCGUCCGCUCCAAGUAAGUCGGGAGCUAAGGUGAGGCCGAAAGGCGUAAUCGAUGCACACACGGUGGAUAUUCCGUGACCGCAGAAAGAUUUAAACUUGAUGACACCUGAGAAGUUCAUAACCCGGGCGAUGGUAGACCCGGGCGUAAGGGACCGAAAUUAGAGUAGGGAAGUAUGAAUGGAACAGGGCAAGAAAAGUCAAGUGUAUAUCUGAUGCGCCCGUACCGCAAACCGACACAGGUAGACGGGAAGAGGAUUCCAAGGCCAACGGGAGAAGGGUAGUUAAGGAACUCGGCAAAUUGACCCCGUAACUUAGGGAGAAGGGGUGCCACAGAGAUGUGGCCGCAGAGAAUAGGCCCAGGCGACUGUUUAGCAAAAACACAGGUCUCUGCAAAAUCGAAAGAUGAUGUAUAGGGGCUGACACCUGCCCGGUGCUGGAAGGUUAAGAGGAGAUGUGCAAGCAUUGAAUUGAAGCCCCAGUAAACGGCGGCCGUAACUAUAACGGUCCUAAGGUAGCGAAAUUCCUUGUCGGGUAAGUUCCGACCCGCACGAAAGGUGUAACGAUCUGGGCACUGUCUCAAUUACCCGCCCGGCGAAAUUGUAGUACCGGUGAAGAUGCCGGUUACCCGCGACAAGACGGAAAGACCCCAUGGAGCUUUACUGUAGUUUAAUAUUGGGUUUCGGCAAUUUAUGUACAGGAUAGGUGGGAGGCUGAGAAGCCGUGGCGCCAGCUGCGGCGGAGCUGCCCUUGGGAUACCACCCUUAAGUUGCUGAAAUUCUAACCUGCGGCCGUGAUCCGGCCGGGGGACAAUGUUAGACGGGCAGUUUGACUGGGGCGGUCGCCUCCUAAAAGGUAACGGAGGCGCUCAAAGGUUAGCUCAGUACGGAUGGAAACCGUGCGAAAGAGUGUAAACGCAUAAGCUAGCCUAACUGCGAGGAUGACAAUCCGGGCAGUAACGAAAGUUGGAGUUAGUGAUCCGGCGGUAUGAGAGUGGAAUUGCCGUC